rnacentral:rRNA from 1 species
AACGAACGCUGGCGGCAUGCCUAACACAUGCAAGUCGAACGAACCCUUCGGGGUUAGUGGCGCACGGGUGCGUAACGCGUGGGAAUCUGCCCUUUACUUCGGAAUAACAGUUAGAAAUGACUGCUAAUACCGGAUGAUGUCUUCGGACCAAAGAUUUAUCGGCAAAGGAUGAGCCCGCGUAGGAUUGGGUGGUUGGUGGGGUAAAGGCCUACCAAGCCGACGAUCCUUAGCUGGUCGGAUAGGAUGAGCCGCCACACUGGGACUGAGACACGGCCCAGACUCCAACGGGAGGCAGCAGUGGGGAAUAUUGGACAAUGGACGCAAUUCUGAUCCAGCAAUGCCGCGUGAGUGAUGAAGGCCUUAGGGUUGUAAAGCUCUUUUACCAGGGAUGAUAAUGACAGUACCUGGAGAAUAAGCUCCGGCUAACUCCGUGCCAGCCGCCGCGGUAACAC